rnacentral:rRNA from 1 species
AUGUAGCGAGUCAAGAAUAAUUUAAAGGAGGUACAGCUCCUUUAAAAAAGAACACAAUCUCCUCUAGCGGAUAAAACCACCCAACACCUAUAUACUCCUAAACUGUGGGCCUUUAAGCAGCCAUCAACAAAGAAUGCGUCAAAGCUCUAUACCCAAAAAAAUCUAAAAACAACAUGACUCCCUUACCACUAACGGGCUAACCUAUACUAAUAGGGGCACUAAUGCUAAAAUAAGUAACUGGGGCCACCCCUCUCAAGCGCAACGUUACAUCACCACAUUAUUAACAGACCACCUAAUACUGAAACUCAAACAAGACCAAGUAUUAAACUUACCCUGUUAACCCAACCCAGGAGCGCUCAUUAGAAAGAUUAAAAUCUGCAAAAGGAACUAGGCAAACCCAGGGCCCGACUGUUUACCAAAAACAUAGCCUUCAGCCAGCCAAGUAUUGAAGGUGAUGCCUGCCCAGUGACCCUAAGUUCAACGGCCGCGGUAUCCUAACCGUGCGAAGGUAGCGCAAUCAAUUGGCCCAUAAAUCGAGACUUGUAUGAACGGCUAAACGAGGUCCUAACUGUCUCUUGCAGAUAAUCAGUGAAAUUGAUCUUCCUGUGCAAAAGCAGGAAUAAGCACAUAAGACGAGAAGACCCUGUGGAACUUUAAAAUCAGCAGCCACCGUAUAACAAAUUACAAACCUGCUAGGCUCACUACCCUAAAGCACUGGCUCGCAUUUUUCGGUUGGGGCGACCUUGGAGAAAAACAGACCCUCCAAAAACAGGACCACACCUCCUGACUAAGACUGACCAAUCAACGUGCUAACAGCAACCAGACCCAAUACAAUUGACCAAUGGACCAAGCUACCCCAGGGAUAACAGCGCAAUCUCCCUCAAGAGCCCAUAUCGACAGGGAGGUUUACGACCUCGAUGUUGGAUCAGGACACCCCAGUGGUGCAGCCGCUACUAAGGGUUCGUUUGUUCAACGAUUAACAGUCCUACGUGAUCUGAGUUCAGACCGGAGCAAUCCAGGUCGGUUUCUAUCUAUGACAGACCUUCUCCUAGUACGAAAGGACCGGAGAAGUGAGGCCAAUACUACAAGUACGCCCCCUCCCCAAAGUAAUGAAGCCCAACUAAACUACUAAAAGGACACCCACACACCCCCAUGCCCUAAAAAAGGGCCGGCUAGCGUGGCAGACCAGCUAAAUGCAA